rnacentral:rRNA from 1 species
AUUGAACGCUGGCGGCAGGCCUAACACAUGCAAGUCGAGCGGAUGAAGGGAGCUUGCUCCUGGAUUCAGCGGCGGACGGGUUAGUAAUGCCUAGGAAUCUGCCUGGUAGUGGGGGAUAACGUCCGGAAACGGGCGCUAAUACCGCAUACGUCCUGAGGGAGAAAGUGGGGGUUCUUCGGACCUCACGCUAUCUGAUGAGCCUAGGUCGGAUUAGCUAGUUGGUUGGGUAAAGGCCUACCAAGGCGACGAUCCGUAACUGGUCUGAGAGGAUGAUCAGUCACACUGGAACUGAGACACGGUCCAGACUCCUACGGGAGGCAGCAGUGGGGAAUAUUGGACAAUGGGCGAAAGCCUGAUCCAGCCAUGCCGCGUGUGUGAAGAAGGUCUUCGGAUUGUAAAGCACUUUAAGUUGGGAGGAAGGGCAGUAAGUUAAUACCUUGCUGUUUUGACGGUACCAACAGAAUAAGCACCGGCUAACUUCGUG